GAUGAAGAACGCAGCGAAAUGCGAUACGUAAUGUGAAUUGCAAAUUCAGUGAAUCAUCGAGUCUUUGAACGCACAUUGCGCCCCCUGGUAUUCCGGGGGGCAUGCCUGUCCGAGCGUCAUUGCUGCCCUCAAGCACGGCUUGUGUGUUGGGCCCCGUCCUCCGAUUCCGGGGGACGGGCCCGAAAGGCAGCGGCGGCACCGCGUCCGGUCCUCGAGCGUAUGGGGCUUUGUCACCCGCUCUGUAGGCCCGGCCGGCGCUUGCCGAUCAACCCAAAUUUUUAUCCAGGUUGACCUCGGAUCAGGUAGGGAUACCCGCUGAACUUAAGCAUAUCAAUAAGCGGAGGA
rnacentral:misc_RNA from 1 species